rnacentral:rRNA from 1 species
CCUACGGGAGGCAGCAGUGAGGAAUAUUGGUCAAUGGGCGCGAGCCUGAACCAGCCAAGUCGCGUGAGGGAAGACGGUCCUAUGGAUUGUAAACCUCUUUUGUCGGGGAGCAAAAGCCGCCACGCGUGGCGUUCCGAGAGUAACCGAAGAAAAAGCAUCGGCUAACGCCCGGCCAGCAGCCGCGGUAAUACGGAGGAUGCGAGCGUUAUCCGGAUUUAGUGGGUUUAAAGGGUGGGCAGGCGGAAGAGCAAGUGAGCGGUAAAAUUGAGGGGCUCAACCUCUUCGAGCCGUUGAAACUGGUGUUCUUGAGUGAGUGAGAAGUAUGCGGAAUGCGUGGUGUAGCGGUGAAAUGCAUAGAUAUCACGCAGAACUCCGAUUGCGAAGGCAGCAUACCGGCGCUCAACUGACGCUCAUGCACGAAAGUGUGGGUAUCGAACAGGAUUAGAUACCCGGGUAGUC